rnacentral:rRNA from 1 species
UACGUAGGGGGCAAGCGUUGUCCGGAAUUAUUGGGCGUAAAGAGCUCGUAGGCGGUUCAGUAAGUCGGGUGUGAAACCCCCAGGCUCAACCUGGGGACGCCACCCGAUACUGCUGUGACUAGAGUCCAGUAGGGGAGUGUGGAAUUCCCGGUGUAGCGGUGAAAUGCGCAGAUAUCGGGAGGAACACCCGUGGCGAAGGCGGGUCCCUGGGACGGUACUGACGCUGAGACGCGAAAGCGUGGGGAGCGAACAGG